ensembl:lncRNA
GUUGUCGUUGCUGUAGCUGUUGACAUCGCGGCAGUGGUCGGCAUGGUGGUGGUUUCGGUUGUCAUGGGAGUUGUCGUUGCUGUAGUAGUUGACGUCGCGGUAGUGGUUGGAGCUGUUGUGCUUUGGGUUGUCGUGGGAUUUGUCAUUUCAGUAGUGGUUGACGUCGCGGCACUGGUCGGCAUGGUGGUGGUUCCGGUUGUCGUAGGAGUUGUAGUCGUUGCAGUAGUGGUUGACGUCGCGGCAGUGUUCGGCAUGGUGGUGGUUCCGGUUGUCGUGGGAGUGGUUGUCGUUUCAGUAGUAGUUGACAUCGUUGUACUUGUCAGGGUGGUGGUUGUUUCGGUUGUCGUGGGAGUUGUAGUCGUUGCAGUAGUAGUUGUCGUUUCAGUAGUAGUUGACAUCGUGGUACUUGUCAGGGUGGUGGUUGUUUCGGUUGUCGUGGGAGUUGUUGUCGUUGCUGUAGUAGUUGACGUCACGGUAGUGGUCGGAGCUGUUGUGCUUUGGGUUGUCGUGGGAGUUGUUGUCGUUGCUGUAGUAGUUGACGUCGCGGUAGUGGGUGAUGCCGCAGCAGUGGUCGCCGUGGUGGUGGUUUCGGUUGUCAUGGGAGUUGUGGUCAUUUCAGUAGUGGUUGACGUCGCGGCAGUGGUCGCCAUGGUGGUGGUUCCGGUUGUCGUGGGAGUUGCUGUCGUUGCUGUAGUAGUUGACGCAGAGGUAGUGGUCGGAGUGGUUGUGCUUUCGGUUGUUGUGGGAGUUGUAGUCGUUGCUGUAGCUGUUGACAUCGCGGCAGUGGUCGCCGUGGUGGUGGUUUCGGUUGUCAAGGGAGUUGUGGUCAUUUCAGUAGUGGUUGACGUCGCGGCAGUGGUCGGCAUGGUGGUGGUUUCGGUUGUCAUGGGAGUUGUUGUCGUUGCUGAAGUAGUUGACGUCGUGGUAGUGGUUGGAGCUGUUGUGCUUUGGGUUGUCGUGGGAGUUGUAGUCGUUGCAGUAGUAGUUGAAGUCGCGGCAGUGGUCGGCGUGGUUGUGCUUUCAGUUGUCGUGGGAGUUGUCAUUUCAGUAGUGGUUGACGUCGCGGCAGUGGUCAGCAUGGUGGUGGUUCCGGUUGUCGUAGGAGUUGUAGUCGUUGCAGUAGUGGUUGACGUCGCGGCAGUGGUCGGCAUGGUGGUGGUUCCGGUUGUCGUGGGAGUUGUAGUCGUUGCAGUAGUGGUUGACGUCGCGGCAGUGUUCGGCAUGGUGGUGGUUCCGGUUGUCGUGGGAGUUGUUGUCGUUUCAGUAGUUGUUGUCGUUUCAGUAGUUGUUGUCGUUUCAGUAGUAGUUGACAUCGCGGUAGUGGGUGAUGCCGCAGCAGUGGUCGGCGUGGUGGUGGUUCCGGUUGUCGUGGGAGUUGUAGUAGUUUCAGUAGAAGUUGACGUUGCAGUAGUGGUUGGUGUGGUUAUGCUUUCGGUUGUUGUGGGAGUUGUGGUCGUUUCAGUAGUGGUUGACGCAGAGGUAGUGGUCGGAGUGGUUGUGCUUUCGGUUGUUGUGGGAGUUGUAGUCGUUGCUGUAGUAGUUGACGUCGCGGUAGUGGGUGAUGCCGCAGCAGUGGUCGGCGUGGUGGUGGUUCCGGUUGUCGUGGGAGUUGUAGUAGUUUCAGUAGAAGUUGACGUUGCAGUAGUGGUUGGUGUGGUUAUGCUUUCGGUUGUUGUGGGAGUUGUAGUCGUUUCAGUAGUGGUUGACGUCGCGGUCGUGGUUGGAGUGUUUGUGGUUUCGGUUGUCGUGGGAGGUGUAAUCAUUUCAGUAGUGGUUGACGUCGCGGUAGUGGUCGGAGUGGUUGUGCUUUCGGUUGUUGUGGGAGUUGUAGUCAUUUCAGGAGUAGUUGACGUUGCGGUAGUGGUCGGAGUGGUUGUGCUUUCGGUUGUCGUUGGAGUAGUAGUCGUUUCAGUUGUAGUUGACGUUGCAGUAGUGGUUGGCGUGGUUAUGCUUUCGGUUAUCGUGGGAGUUGUUGUCCUUGCUGUAGUAGUUGACGUCGCAGAAGUGGUUGACGCUGCGGCAGUAGUCGGCGUGGUGGUGGUUUCAGUUCUCGUGGGAAUUGUAGUCGUUGCAGUAGUAGUUGACGUCGUGGAAGUGGUUGACGCCGCGGCAGUGGUCGGCGUGGUGGUUGUGCUUUCGAUUGUUGUGGGAGUUGUAGUAGUUGCAGUAGAAGUUGACGUCGCAGUAGUGGUUGGCGUGGUUAUGCUUUCAGUUGUCAUGGGAGUUGUCGUUUCAGUAGUGGUUGACGUCGUGGAAGUGGUUGACGCCGCAGCAGUAGUCAGCGUGGUGGUCGUUUCAGUAGUAGCUGAGGCCACGGUAGUGGUCGGCGUGGUUGUGCUUUCGGUUGUCAUGGGAGUUGUAGUCAUUUCAGUAAUAGUUGACGUCGCGGAAGUGGGUGACACCGCAGCAGUGGUCGGCGUGGUGGUGGUUUCGGUUGUCGUGGGAGUUGACGUCGUUUCAGAAGUAGUUGAAGUCGCGGUAGUGGUCGGCGUGGUGAUGCUUUCGGUUGUCGUGGGAGUUGUAGUCGUUGCAGUAGCUGUUGAUAUCGCGGCAGUGCUCAGCGUGGUGGUGGUUUCAGUUGUCGAGGGAGGUGUAGUCAUUUCAGUAGUAGUUGACGCAGAGGUAGUGGUCGGAGUGGUUGUGCUUUCGGUUGUUGUGGGAGUUGUAGUCGUUUCAGUAGUGGUUGACGUCGCGGUCGUGGUUGGAGUGUUUGUGGUUUCGGUUGUUGUGGGAGUUGUAGUCAUUUCAGGAGUAGUUGACGUUGCAGUAGUGGUCGGAGUGGUUGUGCUUUCGGUUGUCGUUGGAGUAGUAGUCGUUUCAGUUGUAGUUGACGUCGCAGUAGUGGUCGGCGUGGUUGUGCUUUCGGUUGUCGUUGUCAUUGUAAUCAUUUCUGUAGUACCUGAUGUCACUGUUGUGGUCGGAGUGGUUGUGUUUUCGGUUGCCGUUGGAGUUGUAGUCGUUUCGUUUGUAUUUUGGCCUUUUAUUGCUGUGGCUUGAGAGCAAUGUGCAAACAUUAGUUUUAAAUUUUAAUUUAAGCCUUUGUGCUUUUACAUUUUUCGAUGUAUACUUUAUACUAUGUUAAACCAUGUAGAAUUUGUUUAUCUUAGUCUUGAAGUUUAACAUUUUUUCAAAAUCUUUUUAUUGGAUAUCCUCAGUUCAGUAGAUUCCAGAUUGAUUCUAUAUAUUUUCCAUUUUGCUUAUUUAAUAAUAUGUUAAAUUUAUGUUCAUGAUGCUGAAGGUGUGAAUUGUUGAAGGAAUCAUUUCAUGGCUCUUUAUCCUUACCAGUCAAAAGAAAGAGUGCGAAUCUCCCCACCGUCCACAUAGUGGCAAGAAGUUCUCGUCACCUGCAAUGUGAACACUUUCUUUAGUAUUAAUACGAGUUCAGCGUGAAGAGCUCCAUGUUUAGUAUUUAUAUGAGUGCAGUGUCAAGUGCUCAGUGUUGACUAAUAGUAUGAUUACAGUGUUAAGGACUGUUUUCCUAUGCUUCAAAGCCAAUAAUUUGUGUUGUUUGUAUUUGUACAUUGAUCAAAUGUUAUUACUUCCCUAAGUAUUGUGUUCCAAUUUGAUAUGCUGACAGUACAUAAAGAUUGCACAAGCCAGGCGGUUUGUUAUAGAGUAAAUU